AACGAACGCUGGCGGCAUGCCUAACACAUGCAAGUCGAACGAGACCUUCGGGUCUAGUGGCGCACGGGUGCGUAACGCGUGGGAACCUGCCCUUAGGUUCGGAAUAACUCAGAGAAAUUUGAGCUAAUACCGGAUAAUGUCUUCGGACCAAAGAUUUAUCGCCUUUGGAUGGGCCCGCGUAGGAUUAGCUUGUUGGUGGGGUAAUGGCCUAUCAAGGCGACGAUCCUUAGCUGGUCUGAGAGGAUGAUCAGCCACACUGGGACUGAGACACGGCCCAGACUCCUACGGGAGGCAGCAGUGGGGAAUAUUGGACAAUGGGCGAAAGCCUGAUCCAGCAAUGCCGCGUGAGUGAUGAAGGCCUUAGGGUUGUAAAGCUCUUUUACCAGGGAUGAUAAUGACAGUACCUGGAGAAUAAGCGCCGGCUAACUCCGUG
rnacentral:rRNA from 1 species